UACGGAGGGUGCAAGCGUUAUCCGGAUUCACUGGGCUUAAAGGGUGCGUAGGUGGGCAGGCAAGUCAGUGGUGAAAUCCCCGAGCUUAACUUGGGAACUGCCAUUGAUACUAUUUGUCUUGAAUACUGUGGAGGUUAGCGGAAUAUGUCAUGUAGCGGUGAAAUGCUUAGAUAUGACAUAGAACAUCAAUUGCGAAGGCAGCUGGCUACACAAAUAUUGACACUGAGGCACGAAAGCGUGGGGAUCAAACAGG
rnacentral:rRNA from 1 species